AACGAACGCUGGCGGCAGGCUUAACACAUGCAAGUCGAACGCCCCGCAAGGGGAGUGGCAGACGGGUGAGUAACGCGUGGGAAUCUACCCAGAUCUUCGGAACAACUGAGGGAAACUUCAGCUAAUACCGGAUACGCCCUACGGGGGAAAGAUUUAUCGGUUCUGGAUGAGCCCGCGUUGGAUUAGCUAGUUGGUGAGGUAACGGCUCACCAAGGCGACGAUCCAUAGCUGGUCUGAGAGGAUGAUCAGCCACACUGGGACUGAGACACGGCCCAGACUCCUACGGGAGGCAGCAGUGGGGAAUAUUGGACAAUGGGCGAAAGCCUGAUCCAGCCAUGCCGCGUGAGUGAUGAAGGCCUUAGGGUUGUAAAGCUCUUUCAGUAGGGAAGAUAAUGACGGUACCUACAGAAGAAGCCCCGGCUAACUUCGUGCCAGCCGCCGCCGUAACAC
rnacentral:rRNA from 1 species